AGGACGAACGCUGGCGGCGUGCUUAACACAUGCAAGUCGAGCGGAAAGGCCCUUCGGGGUACUCGAGCGGCGAACGGGUGAGUAACACGUGAGUAAUCUGCCCCUAGCUCUGGGAUAGCUCCGGGAAACCGGGAUUAAUACCAGAUACGACCACUUUAGACAUCUGCUGUGGUGGAAAGAAUUUCGGCUAGGGAUGAGCUCGCGGCCUAUCAGCUUGUUGGUGAGGUAACGGCUCACCAAGGCGACGACGGGUAGCC
rnacentral:rRNA from 1 species